AAAAUUUUACGGAUUUUCACUUUAAGAUAAUUAAGUACUAUACAAAUAACUGACUUCAUUUGACUGAGGUCAAGAAGGACACAGACAAAAUAAAACUGUCUGGCUUUAUGUUUAAGGCUGUUUUCAUACUGGGAUGACUCUUUCUCCCAACUUACCCCACUUGUAUUCAGAAACAUAAACAGAAAAAAACCCCACUGAAAGUCAUGUUGUUGUGAGUGAAACAAUGCAACUUGUAUUUAUUCAGCCAUCACAUCUAUUUGGCUAAGGAUACCACUUGAAAUCCCUUUUAACUACAAGUGGUAAAUGCUCUUACUAUAAUAACGUACCAAGAUGUGUGCAAACACUCUUGAACUUCUGCACGAUUAAGUUGUGUUGUCUGGAUAGAAAUAACUCUCAGCAGAAGUGGGAGAGGAGUGAAUCAGAGCUAUUCACUCAGUGCAGUCAGUCAUUUUGCCCACUCAUGAAGAUCCAACCCAAACAUCUUCAGUCUCUCAUCAUUCAGGUUGUUAUCACUGACAAUCAGCAGGCUGUUUAGCUGCUUUGUGCUCAGUCACGGCCCUUCAGUGACAAACCAAACGUGACUUAAUGCAUUUUGCUCUGUACACUUUUUUUCCCCCUAAAACUGAAGGAACAAGGUGAUCAAAUGAAAGGAGAGUAGAUGGCUGCAAAUGCUUUGCAGUAAAGUUCUCAUUUUGUACUAUGGACGCUACACUCACCACCGUACCUUUAAAUUGUAUUUAUGUUAGUUGAAGGCACAAAAACUUGGCAGCACUGACUGAUCAAAGUUUAGAGGAAUUAACCGUGUUGACUCUGCCUUCCUUCUGUUAUCUGGAAACAUAAUGACUCAACGGAACCCUGUUUGCACACAGAAACCAUCCGUAAAGCUUCCACACUAAAUAUAGCGUUUUCAAUUUCAUUUUGAUUUAUUGGAGCCUCGUGCAAUGAAAUCUGUGGUGUCCACAGACUCUCUCACAAAUGUCCAAAGUCCAAAACAAAUUUUAAAAAUAACCAACAAGAUCUGGGAACAUCUAUUCAUCCCUUGUUCGUUGCUUCCUAUCGUUGCUUCAUCACCAGCGGCUCACAGCACAAACAGCAAAGCCUGCACUUAGGUUAACCUGAGGGCAGUCAUGUUUUUGGAUUGUGGCACAAAGGUAGACUCCCUGAAGAUAACCGGCAGAACAUGCAAACUCCAUGCUGAAACACCCCAGGCUGAGGGUCACAUCUGCACAAACAUAUUUAGCUCAUUGGGGACACUGACAGAUUCCCAACCUCCGAUAUGAAGCAGCCUUGAAACUACUAAUUUGAAUUUAUUCCUCUAUCGAACAUAGCUGAAGGUUCUUUCUGUUAUCAUCUAUCAGUAGUUAGUGUUAAAUGAGAGACUCUUUAUCGCUCGCGCACAUUCACUUCAAGUUCAACCUUGACGUUUCCAAUUAGCUGUCAAAUUCGUAGGACUCUUGUUGCUUAUACUGAGGUCACAAUUUUCAAACUCCUCACUGCAGGAAACAGCCGGUGUGAUAAGUCGAGGUCUAAUCUUUCUACUGGCGCAGGAGUGUGAGAAGCCCACAUGUUAAACUCACAGGACUAUGUGAAAUAUAGCAGGACUGCUGACGUCAGCAGGAUCGGGUCAGCGUCUGCCUGAGCACGCUGCGUACCACUUGUGAACACGUACCUACCAGAGAAUGACUGGAACUCUCCCGCUGUGCCCGACGCAGUGCUGGGCAAUGAAAAGGAAGCAAACUGAACUUGAAAUUAGGGAUAUCAAAAUGUCAUCUGAGAACCCUUAUCGCAGCCCAGCUCAGCCCACGAGGAGUGUUUAUGAGACUUGAUGUUCUUCCUGAUACAGGCUUUUUACAGCACCAGUUGCUCCAUGAACACACGCUGCUCAGGCAUUGAUUGGCCAGAGCAGGAAUCAACAAAUGCAUGUGAUGGACAAGGUUUUAUUGCAAAGUGUUUUAUUGUUUACAGCGUACUUUACCUUGUGAACAUUAGCAACAAACAGAAACUUGAAUUUAUUUCACCAGGAUUUUAUGAGAGACUAUCACAGAAGUGUGAAGUGAAGGCUUUUUGUUUUGUAAAAAAAAAAGAGAAAAAAACAGUGUUGGUAAUUUUUGAUGUAGCCAUCAUUUCUUUGUCGAAUCACCUCAACAUUAUGCUGCCGUCGCCGUGUUUCACCUGUGUUCUGGGUCAUGUGGAGAGUCAUGUUUCCACCAUAUACAGCAUUUGGCAUUUCGGGCAAAAAGUCAAGUCUAGGUUUUAUCUAACCAGAGCGCUCCCUCCCAUGUGUUUACCCCACUUGGGGAAUUGAUUCAAGGGUUAUGAAUAGUUUUGAAAGUCCCUAUACCCUUGGUCAUAGUCUGUCCAGUUAAUUUAUCAGCCACCCAGGCCUAUGUUUACAGUUCGAAACUCUUACAUCAUUUUUUUUCUCUUAAUCUCUUAAUGCUGAUGCUGCAGAUGUUGUAUUGUUAUCUUAUCACCACGUCCUCUUUGCAGCUCACUGUUGCUACAGCUGCUGACCUGUUUGAGUCGCCGCUGAAAGUUUUCUUAAGUAUUUUCUGGUUUGUCUUUUCAAGCCAAGACACUGAGCUAAUAUACAAACUGUAAGCUGAAAGUUGUGGAGAAGAGUAGCUCCCUCAUCCAAACAGACAAAUGAAACAAACCUUCACAGGAAGAUGCACAUAUUCAGUUUCAUCUUGUGCUCAUAUACUUUUUUUUUUGUUGUUGUUGUUUUUUGUUUUUCUCUGUCUUGGUAAUAUCCAGUCAAACUGCCAGUCAGCAUUUUGCAGUCGGUCUCCAUUUGGCUCUGGGAACCUGCUCUUACUGUGGGAGCUCUGUCUCGUCCAGAGAGUGGAAUGUGCUUACACGGUUGGAAAAAUCAAACUGGUUAGAGAGGAGAAGCAGACAGAUGUGCUUGAGUGGAAGAAAGAGAGCGAAUGAGAUAGGAACAGUAUGUGCUGCUGGAAGCAGCAUAAAUACCUAAAGAGCCAGCUGUCUUCAAGCUGUCUUCUAAUACUGUUCUGAUAAGAAAUAAGACCACAGAAACGUCAUAAACAAUGAUCAGUGUUUCGGGAGGAAGGCUUAAGGGAAAUAUGUCUCCAAUGAAGGCAGCAGGCGGGAUUUAGGAAUAAGUCUGAGAAAAGAAGCAGACACUGCAGCAGAGUGGAAACGACAAAACCAAGGAAGUGGCGCCUAAGUGAGGGCUUUUUGUGCAAACCUGGGCUCCGUGUUUCCAUCCUACUUGUGAAGUGAAGUGGACUCUGCUGGACACUGUGUCCUACAUAGCAGCAAGCUACAGCUAACCUGAGUCAGCAUAGUAGUUUUAUAUAAGGUCACCCCACAGGAUUCAAAGAUGAGUUUAGAACCAGAUUUUUCUUUUUUUUUUUUUUUUUAUUCUCGCUUUUCUUUGACAAGG